CUAGUAGCUAUUAUAGAAUCCAAGUUAAAACGCUGCCAAAAGCACCUGCAGUCUUAAAAAAAAAAAAAAUUAUUCGAGUAAAGUGAUCACUGAAUUCUACUAUGGUCUCCGUCAAAGUUAUAUUCUUUGUAGUGUUAGUUGCUGCAUUGCACGUUGUUGUUAUAAAAGAUGCUUUGGUUUCUGCUGGUGGUCGCUCAGAUGAAGCUUUGCUUGGCCCAUUGGAUGCGAGGUCGGACGACUGUAAUGUAUAAAAAAUGAAUACCUAUAAUGGAAAAACGCAGAAAAACUGUGUGACAUUUAGCAUAAAAUGUACCUAAUAAAUGCUUUUUAACGACAUAAAUAAAUGAAAAAUUCG